GCGCACCAGGCGCGAAAACUUCACACUGUGCGAAAGCACGAUGAGGGAAUCCCAAGUGCUUGCACGUAAGUGUAAGCUGUUUCUCUGUCUAAAACGCAGAGAGAGUAAGGGCUGGGUAAGACGGGUGCCAGCCGCCGCGGUAAUACCUGCAGCUCAAGUGGUGACCGUUAUUAUUGGGCCUAAAACGUCCGUAGCCGGUUUAAUAAAUGCCUGGGUAAAUUGUGUAGCUUAACUAUACGAAUUCCGGGUAGACUGUUAAACUUGAGACCGGGAGAAGUUAGAGGUACUCCUGGGGUAGAGGUGAAAUUCUGUAAUCCUAGGGGGACCACCAGUGGCGAAGGCGUCUAACUAGAACGGGUCUGACGGUGAGGGACGAAGCCCUGGGGCGCAAACGGGGAUUAGAUACCCCGGUAGU
rnacentral:rRNA from 1 species